rnacentral:lncRNA from 1 species
UUGAUUAGGUUUUGCUUCAAGGUUGUUGACAGCCAAGGAAUCGGAAACUACAGGACCUGCAGCAGGAUUUGGUGCCCAGUCAUCAGAAUAAUUUACUCUUUCAGCACAGACAAUAUUUCAAAUCAUCCCUGUGAUGGAUGUUCUAGAGGUUUCUAUACCCCAGACAGGGAAUGUUUGUAACCUUCAAUUGCAUGGGAGAUUGGCUACAGCUCUGCUUCUUGCCCAAGACAGUAACAGAGCAGCCCAUUUGGAGCAUCUGGUUUCUUGGCAGAGAGAGAAACAAGAUCUUGUAAACCAUGAGCAGUCUUUCAAAACUUCUGUUUCAGGAGAACACACAUCAUUUCCAUCUAGUUUCUUUAGAAAAAUUACACCCAGCAAGACUGCUUCUCCUGCCUCC